rnacentral:tRNA from 1 species
GGGCGUGUAGCUCAGUGGUGUAGAGCGGGGUCCUUAUAAGGCCUGUCUGUCCCAGGUUCGAUUCCUGGUACGCCUACCA